rnacentral:lncRNA from 1 species
AUGUUUUCUUGCAGUGACCCAAAAACCUGGCUGCUUUGGAAAGUGGAUAGUAUUGGCAAGCCAAGAAAUAUGAGUGGUGUUUUGCACCUCAAGACUUCAUUCUGUAAGAUGUAUCGACUGGAUUGCCUACCUGUAACUCAGCUUUGUAAGCAGCCUCCCGAGGUUAGCCGUGGUGGUAUUACAUGCCUUGUGCUUUGCCAGCCCCUACAAGCCAGCCAAAGUCUGUUAAAGCCUUCAGAGCACAAAACACUGAUAAGAUGGAUCUCUAACAGGUAUGCGUCAGGGAUAAAGUGGAGAUGUUCCAUUUGCAACAACCUAAAAUUAGUUGCUGUUCACUCAAUAGCAGUAGUAGCUGCCUCCUAUGUCGUUACUUCUACUUGGAACGGGGUGGCUAAUGUAUGGAAUGGAAAUAGUGACACUGAGUAUGUGCAGUAUACACAUAUAUACUGUGUGUGUAUGUAUGUGUGUGUACAUGUAUAUGCUAGCAUGGUGAAGUGUGGAAGUCGACUUUUGGGAAGUUCUGGGGGAUUCAGGUAUAUGGCUUGCUUUGGACUGUUACUAAAAAUAUGGGCUUUUUGGUUACGAAGCUAAAAAUAGAUACAUUAAGACCUACAUUCUCAAUGUAGGUCAGUGGAGGCACUUCUCAGAUGUAUUAGCAUUUUGGACACUUAAUCUUAGCAGCAUAUUGCAUCUCCUAGAACAGGAUAGUCGGGGCAGUGCAGGAGAAAUUGCUGCGUCUCAAGUCAUUCGGAAAGGUUGCCAAGUUUCUCAGGAACCAGAAUGGCAGAAUAAUGAGUAUUAUAUUUAAUUCAGGAUGGAAAGGCAACCGUGGGGCGUUCAGCAGAGGCAACUCCGAUUGUCUUGGCUCCAUGGGGGAGGGAGACUCUAUAACUAUAGUUAGCUAAAAAGAAGCAAGCUGUGUGUCUGCAUUUGUGUGUAUAUAUAUAUUUAUAUAUAUAUGUAUAUACAAAUCUGUGUAUGUGUAUAUAACACCGUGUGUACAUAUGUAUGUAUGUAUAUGCCUAU